rnacentral:lncRNA from 1 species
CUAACUCUAUUCGUGCCCCUGCAGAGCGCUUUAGAGGCUGGCUCCCCUGUUACCUCCAUGCCCUCACAGCUAUGUGUGAAGCUGUAGUGUUAAGUUGGCUGUCCAGUGAUGCUGUGGAACUUGAGGGCCCAGUGUUUCUUUAAGGCCUCCGGUCACUCAAAGGCGUUAAGCUCUGGACCAGCGAGGCAGGUCAUUUGGUCCCUCACGAUGCAGAGCUUCAGGAAUGUGAGACCUUUGAGGAAAAUGAGAAGCUCCUGCUGAAGCUGCAGAUGUUUCAGUGUGGAAGGUUAGUGUCUCUGAAGAUGGAGCUGCUAAAACCUUAACAACGUCAUAAAGUAAAACAACAGGGAUAUUUACUGAUGCCAGUUCUUUAACGAUACUGUGGUUUUCGAUUCCGAUAAAAAAACUCGAAGUAUCUUAAACAGGAACCGAAAAGAGACGGAGCUCUGAUGCUGCUGGUCAAAUAAAUGACACAGACUUAAAUCUUUAAUGAGUCUGAUACGACUGUAUUUAUGGAAACAGUGUAACCGUGUCCAGCUGCAGGCGUGACAUCAGGAUCAGGGUUUAUUGUCUUUGUCAGUAAACAG